GGCAGUGUGGCUCAGUGAUAGAGUGCUUGCCUAGCAUGCAUGAAGCCCUAGGUUUGAUUCCUCAGUACCA
rnacentral:tRNA from 1 species